rnacentral:rRNA from 1 species
ACGGGGCCGCCCCGCGAGGGACGGCGCCGCCCCGGGGCCGUCGUGAUAUCUCAUCUCGCCGCCCGUCGCGAGGCGGACGGAGGGAGUGGAUGAGGUUACCUGGAAAAAAUACGGGGCGAUCUAGGCGGGCGAACCUCGCCAACGAACGAUCGGACAUGGGAUAACGGAAGAGGGCGUCGGCUCGACUUCGUCGGUUCCUCGGGCCGAGGCACGUACGGUGAAUAGGGACGGUCGGGGCCGCCCGUACCGGGUCGUGAGAGGUGAAAUUCUAGGAUCGACCCCGAGACGAACCGCCGCGAAAGCAUUCGGCAAGGACGCUUUCAUUAAUCAAGAACGAAAGUUCGGGGGAUCGAAGACGAUCAGAUACCGUCGUAGUCCCGACCGUAAACGAUGCCGACCGAGGGCCCGGAGGAGUUUACGUACG